UGGGGAAUAUUGGACAAUGGGCGCAAGCCUGAUCCAACCAUGCCGCGUGAGUGAUGAAGGCCCUAGGGUUGUAAAGCUCUUUCACCGGUGAAGAUAAUGACGGUAACCGGAGAAGAAGCCCCGGCUAACUUCGUGCCAGCAGCCGCGGUAAUACGAAGGGGGCUAGCGUUGUUCGGAUUUACUGGGCGUAAAGCGCACGUAGGCGGACUUUUAAGUCAGGGGUGAAAUCCCGGGGCUCAACCCCGGAACUGCCUUUGAUACUGGAAGUCUUGAGUAUGGUAGAGGUGAGUGGAAUUCCGAGUGUAGAGGUGAAAUUCGUAGAUAUUCGGAGGAACACCAGUGGCGAAGGCGGCUCACUGGACCAUUACUGACGCUGAGGUGCGAAAGCGUGGGGAGCAAACAGG
rnacentral:rRNA from 1 species